CUUUGAGCGCGACGAGCCACGAUCGUGGCUAUACCGUCAGAGCGCGAAGAGCCACGAUCGUGGCUUUAAAAGUGGUCUUUGAAACUAUGACUUUUUACAGCAAAAUACCGCUGAUCGUUCAUUAAAAAUGGUAGCAUUGAAUAGAGCACAUUUUUCUCUAUCUUUUGGUAUAUUGUUGUUAUAUAUUUGGUUUUGAAAAUGAGCGACAGUGAAGAAAGUUGCAUGGAUGACGAGAGUUGUACCAGCGAAGAAUUUUUAAGUUCCAGCGAUGACAGUUUGUUUGAUGAAGGCACGAUAACUUCAAUUAAAAAAUUAUUUGAUAGCAAUUAUGUGUGAUCACACUUUCUAUUUUCUGAAACCAUCUGCGUGCAUUUCAAUUGCAAGAUAUAUGAUCACCUAUGGAAUCAAUUAGAGUUAAUUGGAAAUGAGCAAGUUGUGCUGAUGUAGGAGUCACUGCAUACUCUAUAUGUAGAUACAUUCAUAUGUAAAGAAAAAGAGAUAAAAGUAUAUGGUUGGCUAUAAUAUGGAAAGUUCAAAAAGUACAAAUCCGCAAAGCAUAAAGUAUAAAUAUGGAAUCUGGAAGCACUGAAAAAGCAUUGUGUUGAAUCUGGAUACAAUAUAGAGAGAAAAAAUAGUAAGUGUAUUUAUAUAAAUUAGUAAGUGUAAAAAGUGUAUUUAUAUAAAUAGUAAGUGUAUUAUAUAAAAAUUUAAUAAUAAUAUUUAUAUUUUAAUAAAAAGUUAAAGAGUUCGUUUAAUUUUUUUAAACUAUUUUUUAUUAUAUUAUAUUAAUGUUUUUGUUAUUUUUAAACUGAUAAUUUUGCUUAUGGUCUACUAUUUGAUGAAUUUAUUUAUGGUCCAUCAUAUCAAGAACACAAGAUACGAUCAUAAUGUUAAUAGACCACUGGUGUUGAUUCAAAGAUAUAUGUUUGACUACAAUCAAGAGAAUGCGAGAAAAAACGCAAAAAGAAAGAAAGAUAACAGUUAUUUGUUCUAAAAGCAUAUAUAUAAUAUAUAUAUAUAUAUAUAAAUUUUUAUUUAACUUUUUUUAUACAAUAUUUAGAGCAACAAUUUAUGUCAUUAAUAAUUGCAGAAUAUAUUUAUGUCAUGA